UACGAAGGGGGCUAGCGUUGCUCGGAAUCACUGGGCGUAAAGCGCACGUAGGCGGAUCGUUAAGUCGGAGGUGAAAUCCUGGAGCUCAACUCCAGAACUGCCUUCGAUACUGGCGAUCUUGGAGUCCGGGAGAGGUGAGUGGAACUCCGAGUGUAGAGGUGAAAUUCGUAGAUAUUCGGAAGAAACACCAGUGGCGAAGGCGGGCUCACUGGCCCCGGUACUGACGCUGAGG
rnacentral:rRNA from 1 species